UGUUAUCCGUCGCCCUGGUGACACCGCAUGCAAAUAGGAAUGGACGCCCGGGCAACUUUAGCUUGAAGGGAGAAAAACAAAACAGAGGGAGUUUUAUUUUCCUGGCACUUUGAGGAUCAAGGUUAAAAAGCAGCACGUCGCCAUAUGUUUCCACCAUCUACAGAGUCAACGGAGGCCGAGAUUCUGAGGCGGGAAGGAGCCGGUGGUAGCUGGUCCCCUACAAAAAGGUCAGGUGGCUGAGGUCCCUCCGCCCCCACUGGACAUCAGGGGGUCCCCGGCAUACACAGUAUGUACCAUUCUGGACUCGAGACACCGGGUGAGGGGCCUACAGUACCUCGUUGAAUGGGAGGGGUACGGUCCGUAGGAGAGGUGCUGGGUAACGGUGGGAGACAUUAUGAACCCUUCACUCCUGAGAGACUUCCACCGCCUCCACCCGGAUCGCCCGGCGCCUCUUCAGGUGGUGCUCGGCGGUCGUCGUCACCGGCCUACUAGCCGCCACCGAUCCCUUUUUCUUUUCGGUUAGUUUUGUUCCUAUUUUGUGUGUGCUUGAUUUUGUUCCCUAUUUAGCGUAUGGAAUAUUCACGUUGUAUCGUUUUGGUGUUGUUAGUGCUCUGGACGUGGUUACCCGUUGUUUUGGGUUGGUCAGUGUUUGCUCCAUACGUGUUGGGCAUUUCAUUUUGGUGCUGUAUUAAAGUGCACUUUUCCCCUGGA